CACGUAGGGGGCGAGCGUUGUCCGGAUUUAUUGGGCGUAAAGAGCUCGUAGGCGGUUUGGCAAGUCGGGUGUGAAAUUUCGAGGCUCAACCUCGAAACGCCACUCGAUACUGCCAUGACUGGAGUCCGGUAGAGGAGUGCGGAAUUCCUGGUGUAGCGGUGAAAUGCGUAGAUAUCUGGAGGAACACCGGUGGCGAAGGCGGCAUCCUGGACCAAUAUUGACGCUGAGGAGCGAAAGCCAGGGGAGCAAACGGG
rnacentral:rRNA from 1 species